rnacentral:rRNA from 1 species
UACCCGAGUGGCGAACGGGUGAGUAACACGUGGGUGAUCUGCCCUGCACUUCGGGAUAAGCUUGGGAAACUGGGUCUAAUACCGGAUAGGAGCCAUCUUUAGUGUGGUGGUUGGAAAGUUUUUUCGGUGUAGGAUGAGCUCGCGGCCUAUCAGCUUGUUGGUGGGGUAAUGGCCUACCAAGGCGGCGACGGGUAGCCGGCCUGAGAGGGUGUACGGCCACAUUGGGACUGAGAUACGGCCCAG